GUGUGCAAAAAUUUGGAGCUUGAAGAGUUAUGAGAAAACUUUUUGGACCAAACUGUGGUAUCAUGUAGAAUUAUCAAAGCAACUGAAAUAAAAGUUUUAAUCGUUUCA
ensembl:ncRNA F10E9.18 ncRNA